GCAGGGCCAGAUGACGCUGGAGGGCCUUAAGGCCAUUUGAAAUGUUGACUUUCUCCAAGAGCAAGGGGAGCCACUACAGGGUCCCAAUGUGGCCUGAUUUGCUCUUCACUGGCAGACUCCAUGGCCUUGGACAACGUGCUUCCGGUUUUCUCACCUGUGCCUGGCUGAGUCCAGAAGUUGUUUCCGGCUGAGCCCGACACUUCACGCAGUGAGAGGACGCAGUCCGCAACCCCGCUACCCGGGCUCUCUGCAAAGGGGACGUCCCCUUGGCCCUUCCCGACACCCCGGGCCUCCGGGCCAGUGCGAUUUCUUGCGACAGACUCUGUGUACACUGCAGCUCUGCUCCCAGAAGAUUUAUCAAUCAAGGCAGCCUUGUGAGGAAGCGCAGACAAUUAGAGUCACCAGCUACCAUGCUUGAGGACACUCAGGAAGCCUCUGGGGAGGCCCACGUGAUGAGGAAUUGAGCCUGUCCUGAAGCAUCCGAGUGAGCUUGGAAGCGGAUCCUCCCUUCCCAAGGCUUUGGAGGAGGCACAGCUCCGGCCUCCAGCUUGACUUCAUCCUCACCAGGGAUUCUGAGCCACAGGCUACAGCUAAGGUGCCCGGAUCCCUGAGCCACAGCAACGUGGCGGAAUCGAUUCUGAGGAAACCAGAAGGAAGAGGAAGCGAAGCCACGUGUUUCAGGCCAUCUGAGAAAACUCAGAGACAAGGCUGAACCGUUUACACCCUCUGCGAAGCUGACGUCUACGCUGUGGCCACCAGGUGCGGUGCAGACACCAGGCUUUACGGGGCGUCUAUUUCGAGCCUGACUGUUGACAUUAUUAUUGCGCUGGGUUCUCCCAACCACUCUGUGAAGUGGGCUUAUUUCACCCCCUGCACAGAACGAGAAACUAGUGUAUUCAAUGACUCCAUAUUUGUUGACUCCGCUGUUAUAAGGUAGGCCUUGGAGACGUCACGGUGGGUAAGAGAGAGCCUGUCCUCCGGAAGUGUAUUUUCUCACUCAGGGAAGAGACUUUCCCAGGAUCAUGGGCCAGCAUUGGUGCUUGGCAGGGCCAAGACGCGAAAGGUUCUACCGUGCCAAAGUGUGGGGAAUCUACCGUGCCAAAGUGUGGGGAAUGCCUUUGCCUUCUCCUGAGUGCCAGGUUUUGAGGGCAUUGUGACCUCCUACAAAGCACACGUGUAGCACCUGUCAUCCGUCCUCCUGACCGGGCAACCUCAGGGGAGGAAAAGCGGUCACCUAUUCAGUUUAGGACCUGGGAGAGGAGGGUCCACUGAGAUGAGGGAAUGGAAAAGGACCUUUUGCUAUCCUAUGAGAGUAAUUGAGGAAGAUGAGGAGUUUAGGAGUGCAGUAUUUUUCUUUCAAGAAAAUUUGCAAUUGUCAGUAUUACAUUUGUAGAAAUUUGGGGUGAGGGGGGAUCAGAAACAGAUUAAGUAUGCAAUAAAAUAAAAUUCUCCCACCAUCUCGCUGCCCUAUUCAGAUCACACUGUAACUUCUGUGAAUACUUUUCCAAAUCAUUAAAAAUUCUCUAUGGACACAAUCUUCAAUGAGAAUAUUAUGUUCCAUCUUGUGGAUAUACUAUCAUUUACUUAACUUUCCCAUAUUGGCAGAUAUUUAAUUUGUUUCUACUUAUUAUUAUAAAUAAUAAGCAUGACAUAUAUGUUUAUCCUUAUUCUUAUUUGCUCAAAAAUGAAGUGAAAUUAUUACAACAGAGAGAAUGAAUAUUGUAAAGGAUUUUGAGACUUAUUGCUAUCUUGUAUUCUAGAAAUACUGUAUAAAUUUCUAUCACGCCAACAGUGUGUGAGAGAGUCCAUCAUUGUACCGUACCUUUCUUCAUGAAUACUCUACGUGGACUUUUACAAGUAUUUGCCAGUUUGAUAGGGCAAAAAUUAUAUUUCAUUAUUGUGUUUUCAUCACAUAUAUUGGUUGUUACGGAGCUUCAAGAUUUCUUUGUAUGUGUAAACAAUCAUUUGUAUUUCUUCUGCAAAUAGCCUAUUCUUGUUCUUGCACAUUUUUCUUUUUGGUUUAAUGGGUUUUUUUAUGUGUAAAAAUGCUAUUUUGUCUUUUAAGAACAUUAACUUUUUGAUGUUUUUGUUGCAGACAUUUUUCUCAGGUUGAUUUUGCUG